rnacentral:rRNA from 1 species
GUCUGCGGCCAAAUCUCCUGGUCAAAGCCUGAACUCUUCACAUCUCAGAAGCUAAACAGAGCCGGGCCUGUUCAGUAACUGUAUGGGAGACCGCUGGGAAUUUCAGGUGCUACAGGGC